ensembl:lncRNA
CGAGUCUGGAUGAGCACACCGAGCAGAGUCUGGUGAAAUACUGGGAAAGGGGCGUGACGUCUACAUAUGUUAAUGACUCGAGAGGUGACUAAUCCUUUUUCCCCAGCAUGAAAGGAUUACACAACGAGAAACAGGUAGGAAGCAUUUUGACAUUUGAAGAGCCUGGAAGGUAAGAGGAUGAAGAUUUAUUCUGAGAGCAGCUUUGGAAAUAGAUCAAAUUUAGUUGCCUAAUCUUCGAGCUUUUACUGACUUUCCUGCAUUAUUGUCAUACUUUUAGCAUGUUUUUCAAGUUGUCAUGUUAAUUUGUUUGACAGUAAGAAAGGAUGGCAGGAGACCAAGAUAACUGUAUAAUGGAUCAAAGUGGGCAAGGCUUAACGCUGUUGCCUCACAGCAAGGAGGUCCUGAGUUUGAUUCCACAAUCUGACUCCAGCUUCCUCCCAAAGUGAGUCAUCCAAGUGACUUCUUCAGUCCAAGACUGAAAAAGUCACGAAACAUUACUCAAACUGAAAACGCUAUGUCCAGAUGAACAGAAUGAUCUUUUUGGGGAUUUCCUUGCAUGGAUGAUUGGGGAUGCCUGCUUUAUCCAUUGCAAAGACUUGAUCACAACUUCACUGAAGAUUUUUGGACUACGCUUGAAACCAGAACUAAACGGAUGGACAGCUGCUGGCAUUUAUGGAUGACAUCUGGGCACAGGACAAAUUAGCCAACCAAUGAAACAGCUUGUUUAACCCUCAUCCUGCCGACUGUUUUUUUCUGUCAUUCUUAAUUUUUAGGACAAAAUGUGUUCCUAAUGGAGUGUUA